rnacentral:lncRNA from 10 species
UUACUCAGUGCUGGAAUCUCUUUUUUCAUACUAUGUCACAAGAAACUGUCCAGCCUCUCCUUUUUGGCAUCAGGGCUCCAUUUCUUCCCCUUCUUGGUGACUAUAAUGGAUAUACCCAAGAUAGAAUCUGAUUGGGUGUGAGCUGUGGUUGACCAGGAUCCUGAGAGUUGUUCAUCAAACAUCCCAAACAUACUUUCAUCUCAGGGUCUUUGCGUUUGCUGUUAGCUCAGUCUGGAAUGCCUGUUCUGCAAAAACUUGAAUGUCUCCCUUUCCCACCACCACAUCUGCUCAAGUGUCAUCAGACAGGCCUUCCCUCAUAACUGUCUAAAACACUCAGCCCAUUAAUCUUUAACUCUUUACUCUGAUUUGCAUUUCUGCAUUAGUACUGAUAAAUGCCUUAUUAUUCAUAUGUCUGUUUACUUGUUUAUUUGUGACCGGCCUCCUUCUACUAUGUAAGCAUCAUAAGAUGAGGGACUCUGUAUAUUUUGUCCAUUGUUAUACCUCCAAGACCUAGAAGAGUACCUGUCACACUCUAUAAA